rnacentral:sRNA from 1 species
AAAACUGAACAGAAGAUCCGGA